AGGCGCAUGGCUCAGUGGCUAGAGCACCAGGCUUACAAUUGUGGUGUUGUGUGUUCGAUUCCCAGUCCGCCUG
rnacentral:tRNA from 1 species